rnacentral:rRNA from 1 species
GUGCCAGCCGCCGCGGUAAUACCGGCAGCUCAAGUGAUGUCCCAUAUUAUUGGGCCUAAAGCGUCCGUAGCUGGCCGACCAAGUCUCCCGGGAAAUCCACCCGCCCAACGGGUGGGCGUCCGGUAGAAACUGGCCGGCUUGGAACCGGAAGGCUCAGAGAGUACGUCCGGGGUAGGAGUGAAAUCCCGUAAUCCCGGACGGACUACCGAUGGCGAAAGCACUCUGGGAAGACGGACCCGACAGUGAGGGACGAAAGCUGGGAUCUCGAACCGGAUUAGAUACCCCAGUAGUCC